UACGAAGGGGGCUAGCGUUGCUCGGAAUCACUGGGCGUAAAGGGUGCGUAGGCGGGUCUUUAAGUCAGGGUUGAAAUCCUGGAGCUCAACUCCAGAACUGCCUUUGAUACUGAGGAUCUUGAGUUCGGGAGAGGUGAGUGGAACUGCGAGUGUAGAGGUGAAAUUCGUAGAUAUUCGCAAGAACACCAGUGGCGAAGGCGGCUCACUGGCCCGAUACUGACGCUGAGGCACGAAAGCGUGGGGAGCAAACAGG
rnacentral:rRNA from 1 species